UUUGAAAUGUGGGGAUUAGGUACGUUAAAUGAAAUUUCUUUAACGUUUAAAAGGGAAUCCGGUGAAAACCCGGAGCGGUCCCGCCACUGUAUUAGAAGAGCUAUAACCUUUGAUCACUGAUUCUAUCUGGAAUUGGGAAGAUCGUUAUAGCGAUGACACUAAAGCCAGGAGACCUGCCUAUUCUAACAGCACUGA
rnacentral:ncRNA from 2 species